rnacentral:piRNA from 1 species
UAGGAGCCGAGCCUCGGCAGAGAGCU